rnacentral:rRNA from 1 species
UACGUAGGGAGCAAGCGUUGUCCGGAAUCAUUGGGCGUAAAGCGCGCGUAGGUGGCUUCGUAAGUCCGUUGUGAAAGUCAAAGGCUCAACCUUUGAAAGCCGAUGGAUACUGCGGAGCUAGAGUUCGGAAGAGGCGAGUGGAAUUCCUGGUGUAGCGGUGGAAUGCGCAGAUAUCAGGAGGAACACCAAUAGCGAAGGCAGCUCGCUGGGACGUUACUGACACUGAGGCGCGAAAGCGUGGGGAGCGAACAGG